AAUAAUCACUUUAAUGCAGCUUGCGCUCACUGUUGUACACUGGAAGCAGUUCCGGGUGGAUGACGUAUGGGGGUCGGCUUUGCGCAUUUAGCAUGUGUGUUU